rnacentral:rRNA from 1 species
UGCUUUUUGUAGAACGAGCCAGCGAGUUACGAUAUGCAGCAAGGUUAAGUACUUAAGGUACGGAGCCGGAGGGAAACCGAGUCUGAAAAGGGCGAGAAGUUGUAUGUUGUAGACCCGAAACCGAGUGACCUAUCCAUGGCCAGGUUGAAGCGGAAGUAAAAUUCCGUGGAGGACCGAACCACGUUGGUGUUGAAAAACCAUGGGAUGAGCUGUGGAUAGCGGAGAAAUUCCAAUCGAACUCGGAGAUAGCUGGUUCUCCUCGAAAUAGCUUUAGGGCUAGCGUCGGAAAUGAGUAAUGGAGGUAGAGCACUGAAUGGGGUAGGGGCUGACAACAGUUACUGAACCUUAUCAAACUCCGAAUGCCAUAUACUUGAAUUCCGGCAGUCAGACUGCGAAUGAUAAGAUCCGUGGUCAAAAGGGAAACAGCCCAGAUUUACAGCUAAGGUCCCAAAGUGUAAGUUAAGUGGGAAAGGAUGUGUGAUUUCUAAGACAACUAGGAUGUUGGCUCAGAAGCAGCCACUCAUUUAAAGAGUGCGUAAUAGCUCACUAGUCAAGAGAUCAUGCGCCGAAAAUGUCCGGGGCUAAAACUUACCACCGAAGCUGUGGACUCGAAAGAGUGGUAGAGGAGCAUCCUGUAUGAGUAGAAGUCGUACCGGAAGGAACGGUGGAUUGUACAGGAGAGAGAAUGCUGGCAUAAGUAGCGAGAAAUAAGUGAGAAUCUUAUUGGUCGAAAACCUAAGGUUUCCUGGGGAAGGUUCGUCCGCCCAGGGUAAGUCGGGACCUAAGCCGAGGCCAAAAGGCGUAGGUGAUGGACAAUCGGUUGAAAUUCCGAUACCGCAUAAAAGCGUUUGACAAAAGGGAUGACGCAGGAGGAUAAGGUGUGCAUACAAUUGGAUGUAUGUCUAAGCAUCGAGUCAGGUAUACCAGGAAAAUCCGGUAUAUCAAUGAUGAGGUGUGAUGGGGAACCCGCAAGGGGAAGUACCUGAUUUCACGCUGCCGAGAAAAGUCUCUAUGGAGUUUUUAUGUGCCCGUACCGCAAACCGACACAGGUAGGUGAGGAGAGAAUCCUAAGACCAUCGGAAGAAUUGUUGUUAAGGACCUAGGCAAAUUAACUCCGUAACUUCGGGAGAAGGAGAGCCACGCAA